rnacentral:lncRNA from 1 species
UAUAUUCCACAAUUCCAAAUGUUCAUUCCAUAAGUUUUAACUUCAGUACAUGUCUAGUAUUUCGAACAGGUCACUUGUUUAACCGUUUACUGAUGUGUAUACAAAUUUGUAAUUCUAGACAGUUUAUCUAUUCUCUUGACUGGUACUGUUGUAUCAGCCUUUAUUAAUAGAUCGCAUAACUGGAUGCCGCCAGCACCAAUGUUCUGUCAGACAGGGUAAAAAAUAUAUCACAUGAUUACAGCCAUACGGAGUAUAUAUUUUUAUUUAAACAAGUACAACUCUUUUUUACUGCAUACCUGGCUUUCAGUGUAGGGAUCCGAAAAUGUUAUCACUUUGAACUGCAGUAUAUCCUCAAAUAUGGUGGGUACUGGAUAGGUUCAUCUCAUAUAGCCUUGGAGAUCUAGAUAACAUAGAUCAUUCUGGAGUUAAUUACUCCCCGGCAUUCUUCUUGAAAUUGAUGAUAUAUUUCCUAAACUUUUGUGUGUGUGUGUGCGGGAACUUCAAAGGACUCAACGAGCUGAAACAGUUGAUUGAAGAACCUUUGUACCGAUACUUUGAUUCAUAUGCGACAGAGUUUAAUAAUGCUUACAUUUUAUCGUAUGGACAUUUUCUCGUGCAAUAUGUAUGCUCAUUAUUACGAAAAUCCUAUAUUCCUUCAGUAACCAUUGACAUCCUUAGUUAAAAGGAUAGGGUAUGUUUGAUCGAUGAUUGGGUGCUUGUUUAUGACUAUUUUCUUGAGCAAAGAAUUUUGAAGCUAACUAUAAAAAAGGUUCAAC